GAGUGUUCGGGUUAAGUCCCGCAACGAGCGCAACCCUCGUCCUAUGUUGCCAGCGGGUCAUGCCGGGGACUCAUGGGAGACUGCCGGGGUCAACUCGGAGGAAGGUGGGGAUGACGUCAAAUCAUCAUGCCCCUUAUGUCUUGGGCUUCACGCAUGCUACAAUGGCCGGUACAAAGGGCUGCGAUACCGCGAGGUGGAGCGAAUCCCAGAAAGCCGGUCUCAGUUCGGAUUGGGGUCUGCAACUCGACCCCAUGAAGUCGGAGUCGCUAGUAAUCGCAGAUCAGCAACGCUGCGGUGAAUACGUUCCCGGGCCUU
rnacentral:rRNA from 1 species